GUCAAUUAUACCUCAAGAAAGUUGUUUUUGAAAAAACUGUCUUUCCAAGUUGGAAAAAGCAUAUUCUUACUUGUUCCAAACUAGUUGUAGAAGAAGGAAGUGACCUCCAAGAAAAACCACAACUCCACAUCAUCCCACUACUCCCUAACCUCCCAGUCACACCAAGUAGCGAAGUAUAGAAUUCACAUCUGUGAAUAUCACAUUUCUAGAAUAUAAGCACGAGAUAAAAUAUUACUGCUGCUCUAGCAAAUCAGUAAGUCAUGAGACUUAUGAAGAAAUGUAAAAAUGGAAACUUUAUUAUAUUUACCAUGGCAUGAUAUUGGCUCACUGUAGCCUCCGACACCUGGGUUCAAGUGAUUCUCCUGCCUCAGCCUCCAAAGUAGCUGGGAUUACAGGCACCUGCCACCACGCCCAGCUAAUUUUUGUAUUUUUAGCAGAGAUGGGGUUUCAUCAUG
rnacentral:lncRNA from 1 species